rnacentral:lncRNA from 1 species
UAGGGAUGUAGUUCAGUUGGUAGAACGCUUGCCUAGUUUUUGCAAGGCUCUGGAUUUGCUCCCCAGCAUUAUUUAAAAAAUAAAAAUGACUGAUGGAAUUUUAAACUACAGUAAAGGAGCUACUAACUCAACUCUGCUUGUCAGAAUAGAAAAGAUUUAACCAGGAGAGAAAGCAAAGAGGAAAUUCCAGGCAUGGGAAUAGAAUGAGCAAAGAUUCUGGGUGAGGACUCUAUAGGAAGGGUAAAACUUCUGGCAUUGCUAGAGUUUAGGAACCUUAGAGGAACAAGAGUAAUAGCAUGAACAUGGCACUUCAAAUACAUUAGUAACUCUUAGCUUUGUAACAUCAGUCUAGUUGGCCUUGCUUCAUCCCCCACCCCCGUUUUUUCCAUUGUAAAUUAGGGUAGUGAGUUCUGAUGGAGGAUGUCACCAUUCUCUGUCCUGCCCUCUGCCUCUAGGAGCCUGAACUCAAAGGGCUUUCAUUCCUUUUACCUUCCAGUUGAGUUCAGGCAAUGUGGAGCAACAGCAGAACAAGAGAGGAGGGUUUGAGUAUUUUUUCCUGCAGGCUCUCUUACCAUGGCACCUCUGCAGGCUGGCUCCACUUGUUAACUAAAGGUCACUUACUUCCCCAUAAUGACCUAGAGUAGCCCCUCUCUGGUUUCAUUACAUUUUACCACCUUUGCAAAUAGUUUAUUUGUUGAACUCUGCCCAAAUUUUCCAGUAGGAAUGUGCCAUCCCAUUUCUCCAGGGACCUUACCAGAUAUAGUCCUUCAUUAACUUCACAGAGUUUGCUGAGAAAACAUGGUGAUGGUAUUAUUAAAAUGAUGUAUAACUUAUUGUCCAAACUUAAAAACUUUUGAGAUUGAAAAUGGGAUUUGGUGUUAUUAGUAACUACACUAGGACAGUAGACAAAAACAGGCCUCAUGGUCACCCCUGCUUUUGACAUGUGGUAGAAUUUCUCAAGGCAAGAGUGCUAAUUUGUCUUUUGACUUCUAGCACAUGGCCAAUAUUCAGUACAUGUUGAACAUUCAAC